UCUUUUUUUUUUUUUUUUGAAGCAAACAAAAGCCAAAGUCAUUCAGCCCCGAUUUCGAUAGCAGCCAGACAACAAUUGACCAAUGUCGAAUAAAGUAAAGAAAACAGUGUAUCAAAGAUACAAAUCGCAAUCAAAUUUAGAGAUGUAUCCUAAGGCUUAUUGAAAGAUGCCUACCAUUUUGGAUGUAGCUCAGUUGUUCCUCCAGCAGAGCUGACAGAGGAAAUUCAGUCACUACUUUCCUUUGUCCUGUUGGUUUGUUUCCAUGACGAAUGAAUAAAAAAAAAAAUGUUAAAUUUAAUUUCAAAGAAAAAUGAGAAUAAGAAGAUAAUAAAUUUGAUUCGUGAAAUCGAAACAAUUUGGCAACUUUCACGAUGGCCGAAAAACCUCUUAAUUGAUUAUGGAGAACUGACACGUGAAAUAUAACUUGGCGCCCUUUUUUUAAUCACUUCCCUGUACCGAAAUGUGCUGCGUACCAAUCCCUCGAGGCUGUUCGCAUGAAAAAGUGACUUCAUCAUUAAUGUCUUGAGAUGCCCCGAAACCUUUCGUCCGACUUGAUGAUGAUGUAAAAGUUACUACGAAUGCUACGAUGCACAGCAACAGCGUCUGAUCACUCUAUAAUUUAUCUCGUUUUCAAUCACGUGAAAAUCUCAUCAUCAUCAAGCUGCAAGCAGAUCACAUCAGCCGCCUUGUGAAUACAAGAGGGUUGGGCCCACGAAUGCCCAUUCAUCAUCUGGUGGUACACAGGCUACCCAAAAAGACACUGCAGCAUCCCGAACAAUAACCGUGUUUCGGUCCAUCGUUGAUUACCACGACCAGGUCACCCGGACGCGUGUCACUGUCGUUGACGGAAAUGAUGUCGGGCGAAAGAAUUUCGGUGGCUCCUUCAUCGACAGUCACUUCACUGUGAACCACGACUUCCGGCGAUUGAUUGUCUCUCGGUUCAAUAGCGAUCAUAAGUGAUUCGGGUCGAAGAGGAACCCUGGGAAGCGGAGCUAAUCUACCGGCUCCAUUUUCAUCUCUGGCCCGUUUGAUAGUGUCUUCCGUCCGCCGGAGAACUUUUCCACUCGAAUCCAACACUCUACCGUUCACUAGAACAUUGCGACCUCUGCCGUUUUUCUCGUCAAUGUCGUCCCGUUUGACAGCCGAAACGUUCCAGGAGAGGCGAUCCUGAGCAGCUUAAACAGGAAAAUCAAAUGAUUCACGCGUUAUUACAUCUCGGGUGAUGGUGUCGCCAAUUUGGAGGACUUUGCCGGACAGCAGAAUGGAACCCAUUUGAGUUGGGCGGGCCAGAAUGUACUCGACCGUCUCCUUUUCGACAGCCGAAUCGAGGACGACAAAAUAACGUUCAGAUAUUGUUACCGCAUCACCUUUUUUUUUUUAAAUAAUUUAAAACCAAAUUUACUUAAAAAAGAACAAAAAGCAAUGAAAAAAAAAAAAAAACCUUCUCGGACAGACGGUAUCGACAUGAGUGGCCCAUCUUGCUGGAAUUGGACCUCCUGCUGACUGCAUUUUGGCCGGCCUUUAUCUACAAAAUCUGCCAAAAGACUAGAUAGAGAUGGACUGUGGGUGUUAUGGCUAUAUACCUGAUUUUGACUGUUGAUAUCCAGGACGACAGCGUCGGCAUUCCAGCUUUCCAUUGCUGGGCCAGACAGCAGUGCAGAUGCAGCCUUCUGGACAACUGCUGGAAUCUAUUAUACUUUUGCAGGGCAGGUUUGAAAACCGGAAGAGGAAACGUGGGCCUUCCGUGACGGAUUCUUUUGCCUAUGUAAACACUACCCAUGCCCACGGCCUGUUCCUGACGUCAUAACCGGAAGCGAGUUGAAAAGGCGCAUAGACCAAGAAGUUUCGCACACAAAAAACAACAAAAAAACUACAAAAUGGGCACGCGACUCGGCGGAAGAAAGAAAGAAAAAAGAGUUUUCGUCACUGGUGAUGUUCGCAGACGAGCAAACGACGAAAGUACUCAUUGAUAAUGGGGGAGGGCCACCCGCUCUGGAUGGUGCAUGUGGCAAACGGUUGGUUGCCUUCGACUGUCUGGCCGGGCUCGUAGGAGGUGCAUCGUUGUCGUUAAAUGGUUUGAAAACCCUUGGCUAAGCUGGGCAGAUUCUCCAAACUGCAUGCCGUUACGGGCUCAUACCAUCGAGACGUGACACCGCAGGCUGCCGCCCUCAGCAAUCAAAAGUUCUACGCAGUUCUUCUAACGUUCAGUGCACGAUCGUCGGCAUCGUGAAGAGAAAGAAUCAGAUGACAAACGGUUAAAAACACACAUUCAGUAAGGUAAGAUAAGUAAUUUUCAUUUAUACCAUUGGCGGGUCGUGGGAAGACAAAGGUUUUAUAUUUUGCCAUCUUGCUGGGUGGCACCGUCGACCAUCCUAGUUCCUCCUUUCAACAAGAGCCGGACGGCCUCUAAACUGAUGGACCUUUCGGUAGCCUCCACGUAGCGUUACACCGUCCCUUCCAUUGUUUGCGGGUUCUUGAUGAUUUGCAAUGAUUUAUCUUUAAAUUUUUAAAUUUUACUUUUUCACUGAGCCAAAAGAGCGUUUUGACUUUUGCCAGGCCAUCGGCAAAAGUAAUGGAUUUAACGACGCUGGGCAUCAUCAAAACGGUCGACUAAUUCAGGGUAGAUGGACGAGACAUGGCCGUCGAUCCGCCCAGACUGUGUACGAGAAUGGAGACCUUGUCUAACUUGAAAUGGUCCACGGCUCGUUUGAAGUCGAUGAUCAAUUCCCAAAAUGUGAUGAUGGCUCCCGCGGGAAUAUGAUAGGUGCGGCCGUGACUCAAGGCGUCCAUGGCAAUGCAGCACAAUCUGUCGGACAGUAGGAGCGGGGCCAACGGGGCGAACGAAUUGCUAUUGUCGCCGAUACCCGUGAAGGCACAAGAUCGGGAUAUCCAUCAUGGACGUUGCCUCAUUCUUUGACUUGUUGGUCCCGAGCCAGUCGAUGUCACACACACGACAGACAUUUUAGCGUGAAUAAUUGUUGUGUGGUAUUUCGAUUUUUGGUUUCUCCUGCGCAGUCCAUCGUACCUGCCUUGUUGCCAUAUGGUAUUGGAAUUUGAAAUUCGCGGGCGUUGUCUGUCUUGACGAUGACGUGAUUCUCUCUUUUAGGGUUGCAGCAAUAAAUUCCGACUCGUUUCGAUUGGAACAUCAAAGCACGACACGCUGUGACACAUGAAAUAUUGAUGCACGAGACUUGCAUUUUUCGACGACCUCUGCUGAUUGACGGCGAUUCGCUGAUGCCGCAACACUAGGGGAAUGCGCAUUCCCCUGGCCUAUACGUUUCACAUUUAUGUGUGUUAUCUUCUCCUUUUUUAAAAUCUGAAAUCGCUCUCGUGCGUGAUGAUUAGUGACGUCAUCGUGAGGCCGUUCUAAAGCCGCAAAGGUCUUGAAGAGCUCGUGCCCUUGGAUGAUUCAUUUCCGACGAUAAAACAAGCCCCAAUCCAAAUUUAUCGUCAAAGAAAACGCAGCACACACGUUAGCUCGGGAACUCGAAAAAGCGGUCGUAAAAUGAUCAUCGCCCGAAUAAGGCCAUCAGCACAAAGUAGAAAUACGUUGCCUACACUUUCUUUACACACACGCGUACAAACUUUAUGAAUGAAGCGAACAAUGACUGGGUGGGUGGCAUCCCCCCCCCUCCCCAUCUUUAAGGAAUGGCAUUGCGAAAUCAAACGAUAGUAUAUUUAUUUAUGUGUUUCUACAUUUGCAUUGAAAUUUGCAGGCAGGAAAAACUUGAGAGCCACCGUGACGUGUUUUACAAACGGGCAAAGUAUUCGUUGACGAUGGGCGCUACUCGUUCUGGAUUAUGCAUGUGAAAGUGGUGGGUGCCGUCAACUGAUUCGUCAUAUUCGUAGGAUGCGCAUUGUCGUUGGUAAAUGGUUUUGAAUUCUUCGAGCCAUUCAAUUGGCUCGUAAAGCGGCCCCUGUUUGGCUUUGACGAUUUUUAGAUGGCAUUUCAAACCUUUGAUUAUUUCACGUUGUUCCUCUAUUCCGACGCGCAUUAUUAACGGCAACAUCUUUUGAAAAAUGGAUGGAAAACUUGGCGUUCUUUUGAAUGAUAGAAAGUAAAAUUACCAUUCUGGGAUCGUGAGAAUAGGUAAAUCCGUUGCCAGUCGCUUUGGAACCUCUCUUCAUUAAAAUACGGACAGCUUCUGGGCUUAUUGUUCCACCCAUAGCUUCUACAUAGCGGUUGACCAAUUGCUCCUGAGUGUAGCUCUUUUGGUAUUUCAGAUCUUUUAACCUUUUUUCAUUGCUAAGAAACAGGUCUAUGGCUUCAGCUUUGCUCUGAGUCUGCCACUGUAGAGGGACACACACAGGUUUUAUCACGUCUAAUGUGAGCAGACGGUCAACAAUGUCUGGAUAGAGAGAGGCAACAAGAAAUCCUGUUGAGCCUCCCAUGCUGUGACCAAGGAUGGACAUUUUUCUAAUGUUGAAGUGGUCAAUCACUCGCUUAAUGUAACACACAAGUUCCCAGUAAUUCAUUGGUGAUCCUUGUGGGACAUGAGAAGUUUUGCCAUGGCCAGGUGCAUCCAGGGCUAUGUAUCGAAAUCUUUCAGACAGUAAAGGAG